GGCUAGUCAUAGUGGUUUAGUUGCAUCAGGAAUACACAACCACUCUAUUGGUAAAGAAUUACUUCAAGAUAAAGAUGGGGUUGGGUCCAAUAACUAUUAAGAGAGGGAUCCAAUGACGGCUUUGCACCUACUUGUGAAUGAUGGGUCUGACUUAACUAAGGAGUGUGGACAAUAACUGUUAGGUGAGCCCACAUAACUUAGAGACCAAGUAGUUACAAUGUGC
rnacentral:lncRNA from 1 species